CCAGAGCUGGGCACUGGGGACACAGGGAGGAAUGAGAGGACAUAGGAUAGGAAGGCAGAUGGACACCAGGUCAAAUGUGUGCAUUUCAACUAGGUAAAUAUCAGCAAAAGUCCAGGAAGGAGUGAAGAAACCUGGCAGGAGGAGCUGAGCUGGUCAGAGAUAAGUGUUUUGACAGCAGAGAAGCAGAGGAAAGGGGCACAUCUAGGUGGCAUGUGUCUGGGGAGCUGUUUAAGACUCCAGCCAUUGGAGCUGAGGCCAAAGAGGUUGAACAAGGCCCAAGUAUGAAGUACCAGGCAAAGAUGUUGAUCCAGCAUCUGAAGGAGACCAGCAGAGAGAGAGAGUUUUGCUUUGUUUUGAAGAGCUAAUAUGAUGUCAAAAGGAUAUCGUAAUAGUUAAUAAAGCUGCUAAAAUAGAUUUGCCACAAAAUUCUGAUGGCUAAACACAAUAAAGUCCCUGCCCACAUGAGUCUCACACAGUAGUUCCCCUCCAGGUGACUCUGAGGUCAAAACCUGAUUCCCAAAGUCACCCUAGGUCUCAGCACCAUUCCAGACAACCGAAAGAGAAAAAAGCAUUAAGGAUGGCACAAGGGAGGUGUUUCUGGGCUGAGCCUGUUUCAUUGGCUAGAAUUCAGUCAUGUGGCCAUUCCUCCAUGUAAAGGAGUCUAGAAAACAGGCUAUGUUCCCAGGAAGAAGGGGAAAUAAGUUUGGAGAUCAGCUGCAGAGAUAAACUGCAAAGUACCGCAGAGGGGAGAGAUGCAGAACACUUUGACGUGAAUAAAUGUUGUCCUCCCACAGUGCUGAGAUCAUUGGGAGAAGCACUGAGGUGGAAGCAGUGCUGAGUGACUCCCGAGACGAGCACAGAAAAGGUGAUCAGCUCCCGCCUGGCCCUCUCCCCUCAGAACACACAGCUUUGCAGCCCUGAGCCACCAGGAUCAAAUGAUGAUGCAGUGCUGGAGAGCCAGCUUGGACUGUGUAGAUACAGACAGUACCCACCCCGGUAUGGCAGAGCAACAACACAGAAGGAACCUGGGUCCCCAUUCAGCUUCCAGGAGCAGAGCUGCCUCAUCGCCUUGGACCAACUCCUACCUAUGGGCAAGAAUCCCUGAUGCAGGCUGCCCUGGGAAGGGCAUGAUCUCAGGUGAGGCUGACCCUGAAGAAGCUGACAGCUGGAGGCCAUCUGCUGACCGCAUUCCUCACAGCUGGGCAGCAAGCCCUUCCUUGAAGAGGGAUCUGAAUGGGACAUCUCUGUGCCUACCAGAGUCCACCUCUUGCUCUGCUUGGACCCCGCCUCCAUGUACUCUCCUCUAUGGACCGGCUCCUCCAUGGCCCCGUGGGUCUCUCUUCUUGAGGGAGAACUUGGAAGCGGGAAUUAGUGGGCUGAGCCGCGGCCCCUGCUGCUACAGUUGGUCCCCAUUCUCUUCCUCCUCCACUACCUGGUCUGGAUUCACUUUCAUCUCAGCUACCACCGCUGCUGGCUUUGGUGUCUUAGCUGGUGAUGUGACUCAGACCCUUAUCGCUGAGCUUAGCAGGCAGGAAGUUUAUUAGAGAAGGCUCUCAGCACGACACCUGUGGGGCAAGUGAAGGAAGCAAGAUGGGACAGAGAGAGAAUUUGUGACAUAGUCACAGCGAGAUUCCAGCUGACCCCUCAGGGAGCUCUGAAGCUGGGCUGACCCUUCAGAGCUGUCCCCAUCUGGGGCCAAGAGGACUGGGCCUUUUCUGCCCCUGCCUUGACUUCUCAUUGGAUGUGAGCUGCCCUGGGGAAGUGGCUGUGACACUGGGUAGGAUGGCUUUCUUCUGCUGAGGGCGAUUCUCACACAAGGCUGACAGCUGAGGGCUGGUAACGGGGGUGUGUCAGCUGUGACAAGUGCCCUUCAGUCCCGAAGGGGGACGGCUGGUGCCAACCACAACAGCCCCAUCUGUGUCCAGGACCCAACACUUGCCUCUCCCUGUCGCGGUCUCAAACUUGGCACCAGUCAGUGUUUCUCACUGACUCCUCUUUCCAGGUAUUGUUAUUGUGGUAAAAUACACGUAACAGAAAAUUUACCAUCUUAACCAUUUUUAAGUGCACAGUUCAGUAUUGUUAAGUACAUUCACGGCAUUGUGCAACCAACCCCUGGAACGUUUUCAUCUUGCAAGGCAAGCUCAAUAGGCAGCCAUUAAAUAGCUCCUCAUUCUUCCUUCUCCCCAGACCCUGGCAACCACCAUCUGGCUUUCUGUCUCUAGAAAUGUGACCAUUUUAGGUACCUUAUAUAAGUGUCUUUUUGAGACUGUCCUAUUUCACUUAGCAUAAUGUCCUCAAGAUUCAACCAUGUUGAAGCACAUAUCAGAAUUUCCUUCCUUGGUAAGGAAUAAUACUCCAUUGGGUGUUUCUACCACCUUUGGUUUAUCCAUUCAUCCGUCAGUAGAUACUUGGGUUGCUUCCACCUUUUGGCUAUUGUGAAUAAUGCUGCUGUGGACAGGAUAUACAGAUAUCUCUUCAAGACCCUGCUUUAAAUUCUUCUGGAUAAAAAGCCAGAUCUAAGAUGUUUUUGUCCAAGACGUUUUUAAUCUUUCAUUGGCUUAACUCCUUCUAGACCCAGACAGAGGUGAGGAUGAACCACCUACCUUCUUGUUAAGGAGGCAAUCCUAUAAAUCAGAACACUCUGGGAGAGUCAGCUUGAUGGAUAUCAAACCUGGCUUAUGAUUAAUUAUGAACCAAUAUAUGCCAUCCAAUAGUUUCUGUUUUUUCCACCAAAGGGAAAGAAACCAUCUGUAAAGGAAAUUUCCCACAUGCUGCUUGAACUGUUUCACCUUUUGUUAUCGUAACCACCAAGGUUAGUUAAUCACAAACAGGACUUUGAGAAACAGUCUCUAUGUUGAAAGAAAAUAAGGCAGGCGGGGCCCAGCUCAUUACCAUGCUGAAGCUGAUGAGGGUGUCUUUGUGUUGAUGAGGGGAAAGCAGGGGCUGACAAGGGAGAGGUAGACCCUGGGAGGGGAGGUUGGGUGGAGUUAAAAAAAUUUUUGCCAAGAAUCUGAUAGUACAUCAUUUUGUUGGCCUGAUUGUUUUAGGCUAAGCAAUACCUGAGAUUUCAAACAGCAAAAGUGAAAAGUGCAUUCUUUAUGAAUUUUUAAAAACAACUCAGGCUUCUUGUCCAAGACCUAUUUAUUUGGACAAACACAUACAUUCAGAGUUUAUUUCCUCUGUUUUCAUUAAAGUUAAAUCCAAUCUGUAUGACUCAAGCCAAAAGUUAAAAGCAGCAUCAGAUGUCUUUUGAGCUUUUCUUCACCCCAGGUUGCCAGCUGAAAUAAGAAAGUGAUCAAAAUAAACUUAAAAAUCAGAACUCAUUUUCUUAAGGAAGUUCUCAACUCUGCAACUCACCCACACAGAGCAAGUGGAUAAUUGAUACUGAAUACAAUAAUGGCAAAUUGUAUGCAUGCUUCCUAAAAUAAGCAGAACUAUACCACAGUGGUUGACAAGGAGGCUUAAAAUAAAUAGAUAAAUAAGUAAGUAAGUAAAUAAAAAUAACAGAACUCCUUACCACAAAAGACUCACUUUUAAUCAUCAUUUGAAAUAAUACCAGAUGACUAUGCUUCACACCUCUAAGAAUGUGUUCUGAAAAGAAUAAACCCUAAAAGUUACGUUGUUAGGGUUCAAUUUUUAGUGAGCUGCAGCAUGACUAAAGUUGGUAAAUUUAUCCUCUUGGGAUAUUCCCAUUUUUAUGAGAGAAAUUGCAUGUGAUACUGUAUAUUUUCUCAGUCUUGUACAAUGAUUCUAUACCUUAAA